AGUUGGCUGUGGAGCAGUUAAGCGUGCUCGGGUGAGAGUAGUACUAGGAUGGGUGACCUCCUGGGAAGUCUCCACCGGGCAACUA
rnacentral:sRNA from 1 species